rnacentral:rRNA from 1 species
UGCAGUCGAGCGGUAGAGAGAAGCUUGCUUCUCUUGAGAGCGGCGGACGGGUGAGUAAUGCCUAGGAAUCUGCCUAGUGGUGGGGGAUAACGUUCGGAAACGGACGCUAAUACCGCAUACGUCCUACGGGAGAAAGCGGGGGAUCUUCGGACCUCGCGCCAUUAGAUGAGCCUAGGUCGGAUUAGCUAGUUGGUGAGGUAAUGGCUCACCAAGGCGACGAUCCGUAACUGGUCUGAGAGGAUGAUCAGUCACACUGGAACUGAGACACGGUCCAGACUCCUACGGGAGGCAGCAGUGGGGAAUAUUGGACAAUGGGCGAAAGCCUGAUCCAGCCAUGCCGCGUGUGUGAAGAAGGUCUUCGGAUUGUAAAGCACUUUAAGUUGGGAGGAAGGGCAAUAACCUAAUACGUUAUUGUUUUGACGUUACCGACAGAAUAAGCACCGGCUAACUUCGUGCCAGCAGCCGCGGUAAUACGAAGGGUGCAAGCGUUAAUCGGAAUUACUGGGCGUAAAGCGCGCGUAGGUGGUUCAGUAAGUUGGAAGUGAAAUCCCCGGGCUCAACCUGGGAACUGCUUUCAAAACUGCUGAGCUAGAGUACGGUAGAGGGUGGUGGAAUUUCCUGUGUAGCGGUGAAAUGCGUAGAUAUAGGAAGGAACACCAGUGGCGAAGGCGACCACCUGGACUGAUACUGACACUGAGGUGCGAAAGCGUGGGGAGCAAACAGGAUUAGAUACCCUGGUAGUCCACGCCGUAAACGAUGUCAACUAGCCGUUGGAAUCCUUGAGAUUUUAGUGGCG